GGCCAGUUAGCUCACUGGGUUGAGCGUGGUGCUGACAACAAUGACAACACCGAGGUCGCAGGUUCGAUUCCUGCUCGGUUCC
rnacentral:tRNA from 1 species